UCCUAGUCCCUGAGACCCUAACUUGUGAGGUAUUUUAGGAACAUCACAAGUCAGGCUCUUGGGACCUAGG
rnacentral:pre_miRNA from 1 species